AAUAGAUACCCAGGUAGUCCACGCUGUAAACGUUGGGCGCUAGGUGUGGGGGGGCCUCUCCGGUUCUCUGUGCCGCAGCUAACGCAUUAAGCGCCCCCGCCUGGGGAGUACGGCCGCAAGGCUAAAACUCAAAGGAAUUGACGGGGGGCCCGCACAAGCGGCGGAGCAUGCGGAUUAAUUCGAUGCAACGCGAAAAACCUUACCUGGGUUUGACAUGGCCGCAAAACCGGCAGAGAUGUCGGGUCCUUCGGGGGCGGUCACAGGUGGUGCAUGGCUGUCGUCAGCUCGUGUCGUGAGAUGUUGGGUUAAGUCCCGCAACGAGCGCAACCCUCGUUCGAUGUUGCCAGCGCGUUAUGGCGGGGACUCAUCGAAGACUGCCGGGGUCAACUCGGAGGAAGGUGGGGAUGACGUCAAGUCAUCAUGCCCCUUAUGUCCAGGGCUUCACGCAUGCUACAAUGGCCGGUACAAUGGGCUGCGAUACCGUGAGGUGGAGCGAAUACCCAAAAACGCCGGUCUCAGUUCGGAUCGGGGUCUGCACUCC
rnacentral:rRNA from 1 species